AUUGAACGCUGGCGGCAUGCCUUACACAUGCAAGUCGAACGGCAGCAUGGGUGCUUGCACCUGAUGGCGAGUGGCGAACGGGUGAGUAAUGCAUCGGAACGUGCCCUGAAGUGGGGGAUAACGUAGCGAAAGUUACGCUAAUACCGCAUAUUCUGUGAGCAGGAAAGCAGGGGAUCGUAAGACCUUGUGCUUUAGGAGCGGCCGGUGUCGGAUUAGCUAGUUGGUGAGGUAAAGGCUCACCAAGGCGACGAUCCGUAGCGGGUCUGAGAGGAUGAUCCGCCACACUGGGACUGAGACACGGCCCAGACUCCUACGGGAGGCAGCAGUGGGGAAUUUUGGACAAUGGGCGCAAGCCUGAUCCAGCCAUGCCGCGUGAGUGAAGAAGGCCUUCGGGUUGUAAAGCUCUUUCGGUGGGGAAGAAAUUGCAUGGGUUAAUACCCUGUGUAGAUGACGGUACCCGCAUAAGAAGCACCGGCUAACUACGUGCCAGCCGCCGCAGUAAUAC
rnacentral:rRNA from 1 species